rnacentral:lncRNA from 1 species
ACCCCCUGAGGCUCGUACUUCUGAGUGACAUGCAAAUAUUCCUCUCGGUUUCCUUGAACUUGUAGAGCAGUCACAAAAAUGAAACGAAACUCAGUGUAGACUAUUUUUUUUUUUUUUUUUUGUUUUAGUUUUUUUGGUUUUAGUUAAUACUAGUUAUUUAGUUAAAUAAAUAAAGAGAGGCUACUUUGGAGAAAUUGAAACUCACAAUGCAUGUAAUUUAAAAAAAAAAACAAUUUUUUUCAGGUGAUACAUUGUGAAACUGAACGACACCACGUGAUUAAAAGGAUGCAUGCAGAAGAAGGAGGAAACUGAAACACAUCACGUCGAGCAAUUUCAGAGACCUUACAGCCAGAGGCUUUACCAGUGUACACGCUGUAGAAAACCAUGGCCCACAGCAAGGAUUCACCAUGGACUUUAGAGUUCCCUCAGGAUCUUCUUCCGUCUGCGGAGCGAACGGCUCUUCUCUAUCAUCUGUGUUACCUGCUUCUGGGAAGAUUCCUCGAUUUGCAGAGUCUGAUCAGAGAACAAGCUCUUGAAACACAACGGGUGUUUAGAUGCUCUGAGGCUGUUAUUAUAAAGUGUGUCGGCACGAGUUCCAACUUGGACUCCUCUCUGUUCCCAAUACUGACGAAAGUCGUUGAAAAGAACAAACACCUUUUGGCUUUGUCAUACAUGGGGAAAGUCAGAACAUGGAUUGAUGACAUCAUUAAACCUGUUGAUUCCAUGGUGAAGAGGUAUGAACAACACAUCCAAAGUGUGGAGAAGUGUGCUGUUGAUGUGAUUCAAAUACAGAAAAAACUGGAAGAACCAUUUGAACCUUUAAAGAAGAUCAAGAGUCUGGAGGAGGAAAUAGCCCAGCUGGAAGAGAGGAUGAGAGCAGAAAAUGUUAGUUGGAUGAACAAAAACCAUCUGACUGAACUUCAGAAGCAGUUGGGCCGUUACAGAAUGAAGCAUGGUCUGAUUGUCUACCUGGAGGAGGUUCAGAAGUGUCUUUCUCGAAUCAAGCAGAUUCUGUUUCAGCUUCAGAAGUUCUGGGAGAGAGUGGGAUCUCUGCUGGACACACUGAAAGACAGGACCCUUGUUGAAAGACAGGACCCUUGUUGGGGACAAUCUCACUGA